UUAAAUCCAUAUAAUUACUUGAUCACGGCGGGGGCAAGACAAAACACGUAAAAAACUAAACUGGAUAAAAAAUUGAACCGGGAUGGGAUAAUAUGGGGAUAUCCUUGGAUAUAACUUAUGUCGAUUUUGAAGAACCAAAUCUUCACACUAAUGGUUGUUUUUAGCGGCGUUUUCCAAAAAGUGCAGCUAAUACUCGACCUUUAGCGGCGUUUUCCAAAAAUUGCCACUAAUGCUCGAUCUUUAGCGGCGUUUUUUAUCCAAACGCCGCUAAAAACGCU
rnacentral:lncRNA from 1 species